UUGGAGGGCAAGUCUGGUGCCAGCAGCCGCGGUAAUUCCAGCUCCAAUAGCGUAUAUUAAAGUUGUUGCAGUUAAAAAGCUCGUAGUUGAACCUCGGGAUCAAUGGAUCGGUCAUGCCAUCGGUAUGUACUGGUCUCAUUGGUUCUCACCUUCUAAGGAACCAUGAUGUCAUUAAUUUGAUGUUGUGGGGAAUUAGGACUGUUACCUUGAAAAAAUUAGAGUGUUUAAAGCAGGCUAACGCUUGAAUACAUUAGCAUGGAAUAAUGAAAUAGGACGUUUGAUCUUAUUUUGUUGGUUUCUAAGAUCGACGUAAUGAUUAAUAGGGAUAGUUGGGGGCAUUAGUAUUCAAUUGUCAGAGGUGAAAUUCUUGGAUUUAUUGAAGACUAACUACUGCGAAAGCAUUUGCCAAGGAUGUUUUCAUUAAUCAAGAACGAAAGUUAGGGGAUCGAAGACGAUCAGAUACCGUCGUAGUCUUAACCAUAAACUAUGCCGACUAGGGAUCGGAUGAUGUUAAUUUUUUAAUGACUCAUUCGGCACCUUACGGGAAAC
rnacentral:rRNA from 1 species